CCUGGGAGGGGCAGCCGCGUUUCUCCACAUCUGGUCAGGGAUGGGAACCCCUGAACCUGACACCCAGACCAGGAUGGGGUGCUUGGAGACACCCACGCAGGCCACACCACCCACCGUGGGCUCCCCCCACCCAGAUCUCGCAGAGCCUGGGGCCUCUCUGUGGCCCAGGAGCCUGCAAAGCAGGGGCAGUUGUGACUGUUAUUUCCGCUUUGCUGAAGAGGAAACUGAGCCUCAGAGUUUAAUGACUGAAGAUACGCAAGUGCAGAGCCAGACACAUCUCAGCCCUGAGAAGCCGCCGUCCCCGCGAGGCAGCCCCUGAGCUGAACCGGGCUCUGGCCUGGGUCCUCUCCUGCCGAGCCCCCAGCCCACGCCCACCGUGUCUCCGCCGACGUUCAGAACCUCCAUCCCCCACACCCCCGGCCCCACACCUGCUUCAGGUGAGUGGCCACCAUUUUCUCGGGAGAUUUCCCACAGUCAGGGAGUGGGCGGGUCUGGCCUCUGCCCAGCACAAGGAAGAGGUGAAGGACAGACAGACAGACAGACAGCAAGUCCCACCUCCACCCUGGAGACGGCUCCAGGGCACCGUCACCUGCUCCUGGGGCAGGAAUUGUGGAAACCUUUCAGAGUUGUCAGCGUUGGAUCGUGUGAGAGGGGGUGUCUUCUGAAACCCGUCAGUGUGCUUUUCUCUUUCCAUUUCUCUGUAAAUAACCUUCGCGGUUGAAGAGGGGAGCAUCGGAGGGGAUGCCAAGAAGGAGUUAGCGUUCAACACCUAACAUCCAUACCAGGAUUAUCCAAUCCACGGCAGGGAUUUGUCAGGAUGGAAAAGGGUCCUCUAAAUCCCCUGCUGUAUCCUUGACCUUUCCCACAGGCGAGGCUGGCACGCGGGCCUGGGGUCUGCCCUGAGGGUCUCCCGGGAGGUGGGAGCCUGGUGUUCUGGCCUCAUGGCUGCUAAGAAGGAGGAUGGAGGAGAACUAGAGAGUCGAGAUUAGGGGCUGCAGCUCCAAGACCCCCACGCCACGGCCCUCAGCGAGCUUCAGAAGCGUCGGGUUAGAUGGGGAGGCCUGAUGCUGCCAGGGACUUCCCAGGCGGUUUGCCAUUUCUGACCGGGAGCAGGAUGAGUGGCUCAGUCAGGGACGGGAGGCAAAGCUGGAGCUGGCAUCCCAGGUCCACACGGCCAGUGCAGUGCACGCCAGAGACCUGAAGCCCCCUCGUGCCUCAGAGAGAUGCAGGUGGGUUGGCACAGAGCCUGGAUCUGGCUGAAGAGGAUGAUGGGGAGGGACGCCAGAAGCAUGGCCAUCACCAUGUUGCAGGAAAGCUGUGUCGUGGGCUAGAAUCCCAUUUGGGUGCUACCUCCAAAGAAUGCAGAAUAGAACCACGAUGCCACCCAGGGGCACCGUCAUCUCCCCCUCCAACCAGCCUUCAAGCUGCCGUCCUGCCACCACCGUUUGCCCUCUGCAACCGAUUGUCCAUCCGGGGUGGGUGCAUCCUUUAAAAGAGAAACUCAGGUCAGCUCCCUCAUCCGUCAGAGCCCGGGGACUGCCUGUCAAUUUGGAGUGCAAGCUGAAGCUUUUCCACAGCCAACGGGGUCCCCGGGAUCUGACCUCAGCCUCCCUCCCAGCCCCUCGACAGCUCCUCUCCAGCCCGGGGCCUCCUCUGCCUGGAAAGCUCUCCUCUCACCCUCCUUUCCUUCUGGCCUCUCCCCUCCUCUUCGGAAAGGCUGUGCCUCAACUCUCCUUCCCAAGAUAGCCACCCCUGACCCAGCUCUGUCCUGCUCCAUCAUACUUUUAGAUGCACAGCACAUUUUCUAUUGAUUUAUUUAUUAUUCAUUGAUUUCUCCAAACUAGAAAGUAGGUGUAGUGAGGGCAAGGACUUUCUGCUGGGGCAGUGCCUGGUACACAGGACACACUCAGUAAAUGGUUGUUGAAUGAAUGAAAGUGGCACAACCAGGGCCUGUCUGCAGAGCUCACACCCCUAACACUGCCCCUGCCACCUCCCAGGGAAGGAGGCACCGGUCAACCCAGGGGGGGCACCAGCCAUGGACACACCUGGGCACAUGGUGGCAGAUAAGCUGUGGACACACCUGGGCAUGGAGGGGCAGCUAAGUCGUGGACACACCUGGGCACAUGGGGGCAGCAGCCAUGGACACACCUGGGCACACAGGGGCAGCUAAGUCAUGGACACACCUGGGCACGUGGGGGCAGCAGCCAUGGACACACCUGGGCAUGCUCUGGCCCAGCCAUGGACACACCUGGGCACACGGGGGCAGAUAAGCUGUGGACACACCUGGGCACGCUCUGGCCCAGCCCUCAGCUGCUCUGCUCCUGGUGUCAGGCACAGGAAGACUGAUCAGCCAACAACGCUGGUGCCACUAAAUGUCUGAUCCAUCCUCUACCACAACACCCUGUUUUCACUCUUCUACCACUUGAUGCUGUUUGAAAUUCCCUUGUUUAUUCAUCUCGAACACCUGAUGGGAGCAAACACCUUGACUUCAGGGUAGAAUGAUCAGGAGACUAAGCAAAUGACAGAAUUCAUGCUACUGAUUUCCUUUAGUUCUGGUCCCUAAUUCCCAAGCAAAUUCUAGUAUAAUUUCACGUCCCAGAGCAACAAUGUCCAGGUCAAGUUAAUGCAAAUAUAGUACUCACUGCACAGUAAUUAACUGGCAUUUUGUUUACACAUUAGUUUCCUUAAAGCUUGAUUACUGUGAUUCUGUCCCUGAAAUCUACCCUAUAAGAAAAAGGCUAAAAUUCAGAAGACCACGCCCGACCGCGGUGAAGUCACCGGGACAAACUGCUUUAAAGCUUUCUUCAUUCCAUCACAGCCUGUUGGAAAUAAGGGAGAAUGACACCCUUUGACUGAGAUCCUUGUCUUGUUCUCUUAUGAUUUCUAAUUUAUUCCAAUCGAAGGAACCAAUUAGGAUCUCGUGCGGAGAGAGGCGGCCUUCUCAACAUCAUGGACCUCAGAAGAGAAGGAUCUCGAAGCUCAGCGGGAAAAGCACCAUGACGAUUGGUGAUGCCCACAAGGGGCCCCAGGCCGCAUCCUGCCGCCCCUCAUCCAGACGGCUGCGGUCAUCCAGCGCAGGAUUCGGUCAGGGAGCCGUCCACCUGGAGGCUUUCUCCUCCCCUCCACCAGCUGCCUCCUGGAUGGUCCACAGAGAGUUCCCUUUUGUCCUUCAAGGCCACCGCGUCUGUGCCCUUGUCCACACCCUGAGGUGGAACGCCGUGAGCGGGCUGCCGUCACCUGCUGGCAAAGCUCUGUGCACCUUGGCCCCAGCCCGGCGUUCGGAGGGAGAACGAGGACAUCCCAUCUCGUCUUCUUAUCAGAGUCACUCGUGUGCUCCGCAGCCUGAGCUCACACUCUGCUUCUGAAAUCAGGCAUCGGAACAAAUGCCACUCCUGCCUCGGAUGGUUGGUUUGUUUUCUUACCUCAUCAGUCAAGGGGCCUCUUCUGCUCCUGACCCCCGACUCCUCUCCACUGCCUGAAAAAAUGAAAGUCUCAAGUGUCCUCACUGGGGGCUGCAACCAACCAAGGAGGAGACCGAAGUGUGGGCAGCAUGCAGAGCAGGAGGCCUUUGGGAAACCAGCUACUACCUACAACCCAAGGCACAAAGUCAACUCCCAGACCCUCCCCUCCUACUAAUGGACCGUGAGGCUUAUUCGAAAUUUCCUGGGCAGGAGCCAACCAUGUGUGCCCUUCACAAAGAGGGAUCUGCUGUACCUGGAAAGGCUGCCCGCUCACCCCCCCUGCCACAAAGAGGUCCAGAAGCCCCGUUCAGGAAACCUGAUCGCACUCAGCGCACUGACAAAAGUAGCAGCCAGACUGCCCCUCCAGGGACAAAAAGUACAUAUCUGUUUUCACAUUGUUUUCUCUCGCUCUGGUCUCCACCUUAGUUAACUGGGACUGUUGUAACAACUACCACAAACUGCUUAAAACAACAGGAACUGGUUCCUUACAGCGCUGGGGGCCGGCAGUCUACAGUUGCGGUAUCUGCAGGGUUGUCACCCCUGGGCCGGUUCUAGGGAAGGAGCUUCCUCGCCGCCCCACCUUCUGGGGCUGCCAGCAAUCCUUGGCUUGUGGGAGCAUCACUCCACCUCUGCCUCCGUCGUCAUGCGUCCUUCUCCCAAGGACAGCAGUCACUGGAUUCAGGGUCACCCCAAUUCAGAGUGGUCUCAUCCUAACUGAUUACAUCUGCAAAGACCGUGUUUCCAAAUAAGGUCGCGUUCCAAGUUUCCAGGUGGACAUGGAUUUUGGGGGGACCCUCUUCAACACAGUGCAGUCUCCAAGGCCAGAAGGUCAACUCUGUGAUGCCAGGGACCAACUAUUAUGCUUUCCCGUAUUUCUUGCUGAAGUUAUCCCUAGGAAAUAUUUACUCUUGGGUAUGACAAUCAAUUUAUGGAUGGAGACUGGGGGCAGAUAAGGUUGUCUGACUACUAACUAGAAGCUUGACGAAGGACUCAACGAAUUACUAUGUGAACAGCAGAGGGAAGACAAAGAGAUUAUCUGACUUCUAACCUCAAUGCGACCGGAUUUGAAACAUGGCUCGUGAGCCGGGAAAAGGCAGUAGCUCCUUUCCUCGGGGGACUAGGAAAAUUCCACUUUACCCCAGUCUUCUCAACGUCACAUGAUCCUCACCUCAGGUUUGGAUUAUUCCAAGUAGACAUGGUCUCAACACCCAAUGGGUAGCAAGAAAGAAAACGUAAGAAUCCCCUGGAAAGUGAAGAAGAUGGAACUUCUGAGCUCAGCAGGGGUUAGCACAUCAAACCAAAGCACCAGUAAAUACUCGGACGGAACUAUGGGGCACGCACUGGGCUGGUCCUUUGCACAAAACAUCUCACUUUCAUAUGCUCAUUUUGACUCCAAAUGGCAUAUGUUUUUACAUAUUCUCAUUCACACAGAGUUUCAGCUCUAGAUACUUUGUGAAAUGCUCUAUAAAUAGAGAUGGGAGAUCCACAGACAAUCAUUUCCUCAUUGCCUUUAAAAAUACACAACUUAGGCUCUCAAUGUGUGUGAAUUGUUUUAAAUAAAUACAAGUGUUUAUGAAGAUGGAAAGGACAAGAUACAAUCUCUGUAACACUUCUACAUCCAUGACACCGAGCAGCUCAGAAUGUUUAUGAGCAUUUUACACUCAACGAACAGUUGGGAAUUAUUUUAAUAUGACUCCUUAGGCUGAUGGGUUGUUUCUAAGAGGGAAUAAUUUUGAAUCCACAGAUCCUCUGAAGUGUGCAUCUAGCGCUGAGCAGACCUGAAGGUUCAGAGUCACUGAGACCGGACACCCAUUGUUCGCUGUUGCUUGGCUUUGGUUUGGAUUUGGGUUUGCGUUUGGGUUUUUAACACCAGCAAGUGAUGGGCUCCCCAGGCCCUGGCCCAGUCAAAAACCAGCCCUGCAUUUGCAAGGAGCAGGACCACUUUGUGUGAGUUUGGAAGGCAGUUUCUUAAUGGAAAAUCUGUCUGGUGAAUUAAAACUAUACUUUGACACUCACCUGUUUUCUCAUCAGCUUCUCCAAGUCGAUGUAUUGGCACUUUCAGAGGGUUCAUAGCUAGUAUAAUGGACACAGCGCAUUAAGCACCUGCCAUGUUUUAGACAAUUAACUCAGUGAUCUGCACCCUAGCCUUGUGAUGUAUUCUUAUCUUUCCCGUUUUAAAAAUAAGGAAACUGAGGUUUAAAGAGGUUAAGGAACUUGGGCAGAAUCAGACAGACCUGGAAUCCCAAACCGCCCCAGUCCUGAAAGGGACAACUAGCCGUGGGGUCACCUGUUGGUGCUCGGAGUCGGCCCAGUAACGGAACAGAACUCUGCAGGUCUGAGCUGGCGCAGGAAGUGAUAAUUCAGGAGACGGUAAGUGGGGGGCUGCAGGGAGAGUUCCAAGGCGGCUGAAUCUGCCCCCGAACCUGGGUGCCGUCGAGGGUGGGCCACCCAGCCUGUCUUCUCGGGCCACCUGAGGCCACGACCACUGGCAAGAAACAGCUCGAGUUCAGUGUGGGAAAAAGGGCAUUUGGGCAUCUUAAGCAGAAAAAGAUUUCAUGGAGGGAACCAGGUGCUUACAAAGUCUCUGGAGGGACUGAAGGAGCAGGUUCUGGGAUGGCCUGCACUGCACCUCCAGAGCAGCAGACGGGCGCACAGGUGAGGGGCUGCUGCGGGUUCGAGAGCCGCGUCCAUGGCUGUGAUGUGGGCGUCGAGAAGCCACCACAGCAGCUCCUGCCUCUGCAGCUGCUUCUCAAACCCAGGGAGCUGAAGAAAGCAAAACGCAGGAAAAUCGCUCCAAAAGGGAAGACAGCAGGAAGGCCUCACCUCACGUCUGCCUUCCAAAUCCAGCGUCAGGAUUAGCGGAACCUGAUUCGCACUCGGAAUCCUCACUGCAGGGAAAACCACGUAUGUCAGGACUCGACAUUUCCAACGAGAAGGAGGGUGGACGGAGACUGAGCAAACAAUCCGCAGUAUCCACCCCAGUGCUCUGAGUUCAAUUUUACCAAACUGCCAAAUUCGUCCUUCCUAGCAGCUUACAUAAUCAAGUCAUUUCUCUUUUGUAGCACCUACCAUUUUGAUGAAAUAUCCUUAUCUCUUUCCAAUUCAUUUUAA